UACAGAAUGGAUGACAGAUUUUUUCUAAGAAUCAUAUAUAAAAAGAUGACGGAGGAAAGAAAUACAGCACAAAACUCAAAAUCAAAGCUUCAAACUCCAAAUUAAAAUGACUAUACCCAUUACCUUUGUUCUUUUGCUCUGUGGGUUAAGGUUUGAUGCCCAUAGAUAGAUAGAUGGAUUGAUAGAUAAAUAGAGGUACAGUCUUCAAAUAGGUAGAUAGAGAGGUAGAGUCUUCAAAUAGGUAGAGAGGUAGAGUCUUCAAAUAGGUAGAGGUAAAGUCUUCAAAUAGAUAGAGAGGUAGUCUUCAGAUAGGUAGACAGGGAGGUAGAGUCUUCAGAUAGGUAGACAGAGGUAGUCUUCAAAUAGGUAGGUAGAGAGGUAGAGUCUUCUUUGAGUGCAUUGCCUUGGUGGUCAUUCCUGCAUCUGUCGCUGUUUCUUGGUAGGUGAAUAAAACAAGAUAUUUAACACGGCUUUCAUGGGAGUUUGGGGCAUUUCCAGGGGUAGUUUGGUGACCCUGGUGGUAGUCUGACCCUUCUUCUGUGCCGUGAACCUGAAGAAAACCCUCAUGAGGACCCGAUUGAUCUCCUUUUAGGCCUUUGAAAGUAGUUGGCGUGCAAGGUGGAAGCAUCUGAGAAUACCGAGGGCUCCCAGUUACGGGUAGGAAGUCAUAAUGGGAUACCAGGAUUUUUUUUUACAGCGAAGGAAACAGCUAAAAACAAAAAUAAUAACAAUAAUAAUAGUAAUAAAAAAAAAAAAAGCCCACUAAUCACUGCUGCUAUAAAAAGGAGUUUAGAGGAGUGGCCGAAAGAGAGGUCAAUUUUGGGAGGAGAGGAUAAUAGGGGUCGUAUUCUUAAACAUUUCGGUGCCCAGGUACACAUAUUUGACAAGGGUUUCGUGGGAGUUUAGUGCAUUUCCAGGGGUAGUUUUAUGUCCUUGGUUGUAGUUUGAUCCUUCUUCUGUACCUUGAACCUAAAUAAACACUCGUAAGAACCCGACUGUUCUCCUUUUCUGGUCUUUAGAAAUAGUUGACGUGAGGGGUAGAAGCGUUUAAGAGUACCAGCGUAAGUGUUGCUGCUGGAGGGUAAAGGAAACACCAUCUGAGUUAUUACAUUUGGCCAUAUCAUUGUAAACAUCAAGCUUUACAGUGAGUUUCAUAAAUAACUGUUUGAGAUAUACUCUAUCAUAACAUAAUAUCACUAGCUAGUUAAUAUCCAAAUUGCAAUUUUCUUAAAAAAAAUAAUAUCGAGAACCGUAAAGGUCCAGAGGCGGCGGACAUCCUCCAUCGCUCCUUUUUUUCAUCAUUGUAAUCUGAUGAAAAUUUUUAAACUCUUGAAUAUGGAUAAACAAACGGGCAACUCAGCGAAAACAAUAUACAUUAUCUUGGUAACAUAAACGUCUACCUUGGUGUGUAAUGGUGAUGCUCGUGACUAGAUAAAGAUACGCUUAUUCUUACCGACUAACAUCUUUGGUUUCAUAUCAUUUAGUCACCAGGUUAAUAACAUCCUGAUAGUGAUAAUGAUCUGUCUGUCUGUCUCUUUCUCGCUCUCUCACUCUACCGUUUAUGUUAUGACAAGUUUCUACAAGGGGAGGAGAAGGGGGGGGAGGAAGUAAAUGAAGAAGUGGUACAUCACAUGAUAUACACAAUAAUAAUAGUCGUCAGCAGACUCGAGUUAAGUAUAGUAUUCAAACCAAAAAAAUAUCUUCAUCCAGUAAGUCUAAUACUCUGUCUGACCAAGUGAAUGCCUCCUUACUGAAAGCCCUUUUAAGGCUGAAAAUGACAUGUCUCAAGGGGGAUAUAGAGGGGUCUCACAGGCUAGCUAGCUUCGUCCCGCUUAGCAAGGCAAGAGCUGAUUGAUCCUUCGCUAACUUUAGGUCUCACACAGCAAGGCAAGAGUUGAUCCUUCCCGAGGGUACAUCACAGGGGCAAAACACUAGCACUGACAGACCUAUGGGAGAGCAAGUGGCCUGGGAGGGUGAGGGGGUGAGGGUGGGGAGAGGAGGGAUUGAGUAGGGAUGGGAGAAGAUAGAGGGAAGAGGAAGAAAGAGAAGAGGAGGAAAUAACAGGGAGGAUAAACAGGGUGGGGGAAGGAAGGGAAAGGAGUAAUGGGAGGGAAUGGGAGAAGGGAGAAGAGAGAGAGAAAGGAACAUGAAGGAUAAAAGAAGGGUUGCACAGAGAUGGGUUAAGGAGUAAGAGAAAAAGAGAACAGGGAAAGGAAGAUAAAAUAUGAGAGGAAAAGGACGAGAAGGAAAAAGAAGACAGGGAAAUGAGAGAGGAUGAGGAGGAGAAGGAAGAGGAAAAACAGGAUCAAGAACAGGUAAGUUUAGGGUCCCAGGGCCAGAUCACACGACCAACACCUUUCGCUGCCCUGAACUGGCGUAGCGAGGGAAGAAAAAAAGAGCUGCCAGGCUUCCGUGUCUCACCAUAAAGCUCAUUUUUUGUGCAGGCGCGCUGAUCCGUGUAAGUGUGGGUGUGUGUGGCCCAGAUAUUGCAGCGGUGGUAGUGGUGGUGGUGGUGGUGGUGGUGGCAGCCGUGUUGGUGGUGGUGCAUUUCACGCCAAUCUGUCUGUCAGCUGGUUUCGGUUGAUCUACGUUGGUUGGUUUCGCUUGGUUGUCAGCACCUUGUGUGAAUCUAGCCGUGAGGAGUCUGAGUCUCGUCUUUACAUGUAUCACUUUAUUAUUCAUCCUAUUCAACUCAUUCAUCGUGUUUCCUUCGGGUCUCCUAAACUGGUGUGCGCUAAUUCACUGGUUUCUUUGUUCGUGUCGUCGUGUGUGAGUGUUGGACCUUGUUUACGUAGCGGCAGUUCCUUUGAUUAUCUUCGUACGUAUGCUGAAGAGGGUCGGGGGCUGUGGAAUGUUCCUCGCUAGGUCGCUACGGGGAAAAAUCUAAAGCGUAUAACCUUACUGUUUAAAGCCGCCCCUUGCUCACACUCACACAUGAAAAAAGGGGACAAAAACAGGCCUGCCAUCUUUUGCAUUGUUAUAAACCUUCAACUCUCCUGACGUGUGUGCCUCCUAUUCAUACAUGUAUAUAUAUAGCCUUACUUAUUAUAUAUUUAUAGUACUUUUUUUAUUUAUAUAUAUCACAACUCAGAACGAUUCAAUUUACACAAGUCUACCUCUCAGGCAGAACGAAUGCUGGUGCUCUCUCGUAAUAAUAAUAAUAAUAAAUAGUAAUAAUAAUGAUAAUAAUAAUGCGAUUUACAAUGAACGAACAAGAGAGUGUAGGUGUGUGUGUGUGUGUGACUCUGUGUGUGUGAAUUUGCCGAAGUGUGGGUCACCUGUAUAUCAUUUCCUUACCUAAGUACCUACCUACCAAUGCCGUGACUGACUCCACAAAUUCACCACUGGAAUAAGCUUUUUCUUCCACGUAAAAUCCGAAAGUUUGCGAAUGUGUGUGUGUGUGCGUGUGUGUGUGUACCUAACGUCACACUCACAUACCCCCAAAUCUACCUCACCUCUCCCUCCUUAUCCAUGCCCUGCCCAUCUCCCUCUCCUCACCUUCAACGAAACAAAACGCAAACAAGCAAACUGGCAAGUACAGUCGAAAGAAGACAUAAAAAAAGCAAAAAUACAAGUAAUAAUACUUCCUAAAUUCACUAGUGUUAUCCUGAGUGAGUGAUUGAGGAAGGGAGAGAGGGAGCGGAGGGAGAGACACCUUAAAAGAACUGUUCCGUGGGUGUUCUUCGCGCUAAUAUAUCGUUUUCAUCCCUUUUUAAACAAUGAUAUGCCACAACUCUUGACUAGGUUUACAGACGGGAAACGGCAUAAGGAGAUAGGAAAAGAGGAGGGGAAGUUAUAUCAAGACACAAGGAAGCAAGAUUGGUAUCUAAAAUCUGGUAAACAAAUACAUACGAAAAUAAAAUGUACAUAUAAAAUAAUUCUAUACACGUAAGCCGAGAUUCUGUUCCUUCAGUGAGCAAUAAAUGUCCAUGUAUUUACCUAAUUGUAUUUACCUAGUUGUAGUUUUAUAGGGCCUGGGCUUAUGCUCGUGUGGUCCUGUCUCCGUGUGUGUGAGUGUGUAUGUGUCUCACCAAUAUAAUACGGUGCCAAUUCACCAAUAAUAAUAAUGAUAACAAUAAUAAUAAUAAUAAUAAUAGCAAUAAUCACCAAGUCGUCAAAGAUCACAUUAGCACUAAGUGACACUGGUUAUGGGCCCAAAUGAACAUCAACAACAGCCAACAAGUGCGUAGAGAGGACAAAAAUGAUUUAGAAACUAUUAUUUGUCAUUGCUUACUGAACAGCUGUACGGAGGAGGAGGAGGAGGAGGAGGAAGGAAACAGGACACGUAGCCAGAAAGGGGAAUGGGUGAGGAGGAGGAGGAGGAGGUAGCAAACGGGGAAGAGGAGGAGGAGGGGAACAAGUCACAUAGCCGGAAUGAAUAAGGGAAGGGGUGAGGCAUGUGGGGCUUUGCAAGGAGGUGAACUGGAUUUACGGGCUCAUAAGUUAAGUUUUGGUUAGGUUAGUUUACGUGGAAUGUCUUUACAGGGCCAUAAGUUAGGAGAGGUUCGGGUGGGUUGGGUGACGUGGAAUGGACUUACAAGGUUCAUAGGAUAAGUUAGGUUAGGUUACAGGGACUAUGGAAUGGAUGUACAGAGUCAUGGGUUAAGUUAGGUUAGGUUAGGUUCAGGUUAAAUUAGGUUACAGGGAAUGGAUUUACAAGGUUCAUGGGUUAAGUUAGGUUAGGUUACGGGUUCAUAGGUUAAGUUAGGUUAGGUUACAGGGAAUGGAUUAAGUUAGGUUAGGUUACUGAGAAUGGAUUUACAGGUUAAGUUAGGUUAGGUUAUGCUUUACAGGGUCAGUUAUGUUAUGAAGAAGGGGAUGGGGGUGAUGAGUAUGGGAUCUGCAGUGACUCUCUAAAGCUCAGUCUGGAGUAGUACUGUAGUGUAUUGUCAUCUUAAGGGGCUAGAGGACAAACAGUCAUCAUGCAACCGUUUCUGGAAUAUCCUUCAAAACUAAGAAGAUUCCAUCCUUUGUGAAGAAUGAGGCAUCCUAUCUCUCUCUCUUUCUCUCAGACACUAAAGUAAGUAUGACAAGUGUACUGUACUCUGCUAUUACAUGCUUUUAUUAAGGGGAGGGUUGGCAGAAAAAAAUAUAGGUAGUAUAUAUAUGGUGAUGGUCAGGCCAGACAGGCUAACUAAGGAGCGUCUCAAGCCUGGUCACUAUUCUUACCAGCCACACUUAUCAAGUCUCCUGAAGAUGAAAAACCACAUUGUGACCUUGAAGGAGGAGGUGGAGGAGGAGGAAGGAGGAA